rnacentral:rRNA from 1 species
GAUGAACGCUGGCGGCGUGCCUAAUACAUGCAAGUCGAGCGAACAGACGAGGAGCUUGCUCCUCUGACGUUAGCGGCGGACGGGUGAGUAACACGUGGAUAACCUACCUAUAAGACUGGGAUAACUUCGGGAAACCGGAGCUAAUACCGGAUAAUAUAUUGAACCGCAUGGUUCAAUAGUGAAAGACGGUUUUGCUGUCACUUAUAGAUGGAUCCGCGCCGCAUUAGCUAGUUGGUAAGGUAACGGCCUACCAAGGCAACGAUGCGUAGCCGACCUGAGAGGGUGAUCGGCCACACUGGAACUGAGACACGGUCCAGACUCCUACGGGAGGCAGCAGUAGGGAAUCUUCCGCAAUGGGCGAAAGCCUGACGGAGCAACGCCGCGUGAGUGAUGAAGGUCUUCGGAUCGUAAAACUCUGUUAUUAGGGAAGAACAAUUGUGUAAGUAACUAUGCACGUCUUGACGGUACCUAAUCAGAAAGCCACGGCUAACUACGUG